UCAAAUCAAAGACCAACAAUAUAUCUCUGAGAGACUCCAUCUGACUCUGUUAUCUUCUUCAGCCUCAACUCUCUCUCAAAGCCUUAACCAAAAAAAAAAAAAAAAAUCAACACCUCUACUUUACACUUUCAUACACUGAAACCUCUCUUCAGAGAAAACCAAAAAAGAAGAAGAAGAAAAACCUUCCCAUACAAUAGAGGGCAAAAACGAUGUCGUACGUGCCUCCACACCUCAGAAACUCAGGCCCAACCACUACCACCAAAAUCUCAUCCGUAAACCUAGACAAUGGCCGUACCAACCUCUCCUUUUCCUCCUCCUCCUCCUCCUCCUCCAACUCUUCUCUCUCUUCUCCUUCCUCCAAUGCCUUCCGCCGCAGCUCCGCCUCCUCCGUCCCCAACUCCGUCCUCCCUCAAUGGCAGCCCUCCGAACGCGUUCUCCGCAUGAAGCCCGACCAGAUUGAAGAUGUUCGUUUGCGGCUCAAUGUUGAUGUUACUGUUGCGUCGGACUCAUCUCCGGCGCUUGCACCGAUUGAGUCCUUUACGGAUAUGUGUUUGCAUCAGAGCAUCAUGAAGGAUAUAGCGAUUCAUGGAUACACUACGCCUACUCCUAUCCAGGCGCAGGCAAUGCCAGUUGCCCUGAGUGGAAGGGAUAUGCUGGGUUGUGCUGAAACGGGAAGUGGCAAAACGGCUGCAUUCAGCAUUCCGAUGAUACAGCAUUGUUUGGCACAACCUCCUGUUUGUCGUGGUGAUGGACCUUUGGCAUUGGUACUGGCUCCUACUAGAGAGCUUGCCCAGCAAAUAGAAAAAGAGGUUAAGGCUUUUAGUAGAUCUCUUGAGUCAUUCAAAACUGCAAUAGUUGUGGGUGGAACAAAUAUCUAUGAGCAGAGGUCUGAGCUAAAGGCAGGAGUGAAUAUCGUUGUUGCUACUCCUGGAAGGUUUAUUGAUCAUUUGCAACAAGGAAACACUUCCCUCUCUAGAGUUUCAUUUGUUGUUUUGGAUGAAGCCGAUAGAAUGCUGGAUAUGGGAUUUGAACCACAGAUAAGAGAGGUGAUGCGGAGCCUUCCAGAAAAGCAUCAAACUUUGCUGUUUAGUGCAACCAUGCCUGUGGAGAUUGAAGCAUUAGCACAGGAUUACUUGACUAAACCUGUUCAAGUGAGGGUUGGAAAUGUGAGUAGCCCAACAGCAAAUGUAUCUCAAACAUUGAAUAAGGUUUCUGAAAGUGAGAAGAUUGAUAGGCUUCUAGCUUUGCUUGUGGAGGAGGCAUCACAAGCUGGAAGAUCUGGUCGUUCCGUUCAAUUAACUAUUGUGUUCGUGGAAAGGAAGACAAGGUGUGAUGAAGUUGCUGAAGCUUUGGUAGCACAAGAUUUACAUGCAGUUGCUCUUCAUGGUGGCCGUAGUCAGAGCGAAAGAGAGGCUGCCCUACGUGAAUUUAGGAAUGGCUCUACUAAUAUUUUGGUUGCCACUGAUGUUGCAUCUCGUGGCUUGGAUGUCACAGGAGUUGCUCAUGUUAUAAAUCUGGAUCUUCCCAAGACAAUGGAAGAUUAUGUACACCGGAUUGGAAGGACGGGGCGUGCAGGAUCAAUGGGCCAAGCUACUUCAUUCUACACUGAUCGUGAUAUGGUGCUUGUGGCACAGAUAAAGAAAGCAAUAGCAGAUGUUGAAUCUGGGAACCCUGUGAAUUAUGCAGUUGGGAAGGAUGCAAGAAGGAAGGAGAGAGAAGCAGCAGCUUCACACAAAGAAGCAAGAACUGCUCUGUCCAACCUCUCAGUGAUGGGACCCAGACCAAUAAACAUUGAGGAUAAGUAUAUGUUCAUGAUUGCAGCCUCAAACGUUAAAGGAGAGGGUGCUGCAGAUAGUGCUUGGGAUGAUUGAUGCAGUCUUCCUUUGGUACCUCUUUCAAAGAUGAUUGAUGAUCCAAUGCCUAAGGCUCCAAGAUCCUUACAUUGGUGUGUUGCUUCUGGACUUGGGGGCUUUUACUGCAAAAUUUGCUAAAGAUAAGAGUUUAUUGUAAAGUCUGUGUUUCAGUAAGGUUUGUUCCUUUACAUCAUGAAUGUAACCGGCAUUUGUAGCAAGGACAUGGCUCGAUGCCUUGGAACUUGUAGGGUUGGCUAAUGGGUGGCGAAUAUUGUAUAUCUUAAUAGUCAAUUUCUCUUGAAAAUUCUCUUAUUAAUUGAAAUUUUAUCUUAGAUACUUGCAUCAUUAGAGGUAUAUAUGAAUUUGUACCUUCCAAUGGUCACACCAA